rnacentral:rRNA from 1 species
UAGGGAAUAUUGGACAAUGGGCGAAAGCCUGAUCCAGCAAUGCCGCGUGAGUGAUGAAGGCCUUAGGGUUGUAAAGCUCUUUUACCAGGGAUGAUAAUGACAGUACCUGGAGAAUAAGCUCCGGCUAACUCCGUGCCAGCAGCCGCGGUAAUACGGAGGGAGCUAGCGUUGUUCGGAAUUACUGGGCGUAAAGCGCGCGUAGGCGGCGAUUUAAGUCAGAGGUGAAAGCCCGGGGCUCAACCCCGGAAUAGCCUUUGAGACUGGAUUGCUAGAAUCCUGGAGAGGUGAGUGGAAUUCCGAGUGUAGAGGUGAAAUUCGUAGAUAUUCGGAAGAACACCAGUGGCGAAGGCGGCUCACUGGACAGGUAUUGACGCUGAGGUGCGAAAGCGUGGGGAGCAAA